GGGGCCGUGGGUUAGCUUGGUAUACUAGGGCGUUCGGGACGCCUUGACUCCGGUUCAAAUCCGGGCGGCCCCACCA
rnacentral:tRNA from 1 species